GAAGCCUUUGAUACGCCCAGAGCCCGAGGUCGGCCCCACGCCCUGUUGUGACACAAGCAGAAGCACUGCGCCUGCAACACGCUCCUGCUCAGGCGUGCUGCACCCAGAGGGAACAGUCAGGCACCCAGGACGCAGGACCCAGGACGGAGAGUGUAUUCCUGUCUUGAUCGGCUGCCCGUUUCUUGUUUGUGUAGAGGAGGUGAGGCAGGGAUGACCACUGAGCAGCAAAACGCUUACCUUCCUGCAGUUGUAGAAAUCCCGGUGGGGGUUGUUCUUCAGCUCCUUUAACUCAUCCAUCUCAUUGAGCAUCUCAUGGACCUGGAACUUGGAGGAGAGGAACU